ACACACAUCCUUAGAUAAUAUGUAUGAUGACAAUAUUGAACUUACUGAACUGAUGUUACCAACAAUUAACGCAUCGUUAAGUUAGCUCGCGGAUGUUUGUAGAUAACAAUAUUAUAAUACCUUUAAUUAGCGAAAAGCAAUUAUGUAGAUAAUUUUGUUUUCAUUUAUUUCUCUCGAGUGUCAAAGUAAUAAUAUUUUGUAUACUUCCCGUCAUUGUUCUCGUAUAAAACGUACCUCAUAGUUUUGUACAUA